ACUUACUGCUCAACCUCUCCAGUUUCCUGUCAGAUAAGGCAAUAGAGCAUGAUGGUCCUCUACCAAGGUCCUAUGUAACUACGCUACAAUGAGUGACAGGGCAGGGAGGGGGUGUUUACGCUCCCCCAGCUAGUAUCCUCCCGUCUACUGAACGCAGAUCACCCAUCAAUUUACCUUAAACUGUGCUCAAAGGGGCAGUCUGAGCAGUUUAUUGCAGUGGUUAUUGUGCAAUCAGUAUAAAGGUUCAGUCCCCCCAGCUUUUCUCAAACUGUCUUCAAAAGGCCUCUACUUCUGUUGCCAAUGACAUCACUCUGAAUGUUCAGAUUCCAUUAGUCAUAUGCUUAGCCUCACAGGCUAUCAGUGCUGUUCAAAUAAGGGAUAGCCCAGGUGCUUGUUAAAAAGCUCUAAAAGAAUUUGAUAAAAACUAAUAGGACUACACCUAUAGACUUACAUAGUUAUGUAGGAUGAAAUAAAAAGCAUUGAGUCCAUCACGUUCAGCAUUUCUGUUGAUCAAAAAAAAAGGAAGUCUGAACUGCUUAUUUUGAAAUAAACAGGGGGGAAAAGUUAUACCUUUUUGACUACAGAAUGGCAGUUAGAUCUAUCCUUGUAUCCAAAAGCUGAUAGCCCACGUAUUAAAAAUGAUAUUAUGUUUUUGCAAUAAUUCACCCAGUGGCUGUUUAAGCAUCUGUACAGACAAAGAUAAAAAUACCUCUUUAGGAAGAGAAUUCCACAUCCUUAUUGUUCUUACUGUAAGGAAGCUUUUACUUUGCCUUAGACUGAAUCCUAUUUCUUCACCUCAAUGGAUGACCUUGUGUCCUAUGUAUAGUCCUAUUCAUGAAUACAU